GGCACGACCGCCCUUGGCUAUCGUUGGAAGAGAACCUGGUGCCCGGCACAGUCCCUCUAAAGCCACCCUGACGCCCGUCGCUCGCCAGGACGACCUGCAGCGGGAAAGUCCUCGUACUCCUCACGCCAACGCGGGAUAAAUUAAGGACGGACAUAUAGGGACCGAGGCGAGUGCCGCUGGAGACAUGGACAAUGUGCAAAUGAUCGGGACUAAAAUCACCGCGAUUAAGGAAUAUUUAUAUAAUUUCGCAAGGACACACUCGCCCACUCGCCUAAUGAGUUCCGAAAACACGUACGCGCUCUCCAAGGAGCAUUGCAACCUCAAAUACUCAGAUAUUCUGCCACAGAAUGCCGAGGGAUUCCCAGCGACCAAGGAGUUCCUGAUGAAAGUCGUCGACAUCCUUAUUGACUUCGUUAAAUCGACGAACGACCGCAAUGCCAAGGUCCUGGAAUUUCACCACCCGGCCGAUAUGCGUCGUCUUCUGGAUCUCGAGGUGCCGGACAGCGGCGUUACACUGCAGCAGCUGCUACUCGACUGCUCGACGACGCUCAAGUACCAAGUAAAAACUGGACACCCGCACUUCUUCAACCAACUAUCUUGCGGCUUGGACUUGGUGUCGAUGGCCGGCGAAUGGUUGACUGCGACAGCCAACACGAACAUGUUCACCUACGAGAUAGCGCCGGUCUUCAUCCUGAUGGAGAACAUCGUAUUGCGAAAGAUGCGCGAGCUUAUCGGCUGGAAUUGCGGAGACUCCGUCCUUGCUCCCGGGGGUUCUAUCAGCAAUCUCUACGCGUUUUUAACGGCUAGGCAUAAAAUGUUUCCCACGUACAAGGAACGCGGACUUGCUGCACUUGGUGGUCAGCUAGUGAUGUUCACCUCUGAUCAAUGUCACUACUCGGUCAAGUCGUGCGCAUCCGUUUGCGGAUUGGGAACCGACAACUGCGUUAUGGUACCCAGCGAUGCUCGCGGUCGAAUGAUCCCGUCCAAACUGGAGGAGCUUAUUCUCGAACGGAAAGCCAGGGGCCACGUUCCAUUCUUUGUCAACGCAACCGCCGGCACCACCGUCAUCGGAGCUUUCGACCCUAUUCCCGAAAUCGCUGACAUAUGCCAGAAGUACGAACUCUGGCUGCACGUAGACGCGGCGUGGGGUGGCGGACUGCUACUGUCCAGGAAGUACCGGCAUCCGAGACUGACGGGAAUUGAACGAGCCGAUUCGGUAACGUGGAACCCGCACAAGCUCAUGGGGGCCCUCCUUCAGUGUUCGACGAUCCACUUCAAGGAGGACGGUCUUCUGAUUAGCUGUAAUCGAAUGUCCGCCGAGUAUCUCUUCAUGGUCGACAAGAUGUACGACGUCCAGUACGACACCGGUGACAAAGUGAUUCAAUGCGGUCGUCACAACGAUAUAUUCAAGCUGUGGCUGCAGUGGCGUGCAAAGGGUACCGACGGAUUCGAGAAGCACAUGGACCGUUUGAUGGAGCUCAGCGAGUACAUGGUAAGACGGAUCAAGCAGAUGCCCGACAAAUUCUACCUCAUCUUGGAACCCGAAAUGGUCAAUGUCUGCUUCUGGUACCUGCCGACUCGCGUUCGCAACAUGCCGCACAGCGCCGAGAGGGAAAAGAUCCUCGGCGAAACUUGCCCGGUUCUGAAGGACAGAAUGAUGAAGGCUGGCACUCUGAUGGUCGGUUAUCAGCCCGACGACCGAAGACCCAACUUUUUCAGGAACAUUAUUUCCAGCGCUGCUGUGACGGAGGCAGACGUCGACUUUUUGCUGACGGAAAUGGAUCGGCUCGGACACGAUCUUUAAACAAAUCAGUUACUGGACUGAGGAAAGUACGAUGUUUUAUCGCGAGAAAGGAAGGAAGAUAGAAUAAACAGUGUUACGGUCUUUAGAUUACGUAUUCAAGCUGUUACGUGUACCGAAGGUGAAAAACGGGAGGGGAAAAGAAUCGUGCACGCGUGUUUACACCGUGCUGUAAUUUUUUUUCUUUCACUCUGCACUCAAAAGGUUGCUCGUGAGUUGAAAUAAUACUCUGUCCUAGCAAGUAUUUUCAUAGUGCUUCAUAAAUGAGCCAAUUCGGCAGAUCUUCAGCGGUGAAAGUAUACGUAGCAAUGGCAGAAUACAAAUGAUACCAUAUAUAUCUAUAUGUAUGUAUGUUAAUGUAUGUACAUACAUAACUCAUGCAUGUAUAUAUAUAUAUAUAUACACGCAUAUUAUUACUAUAUAGUGUAAGAUGAAAUAUUAAAUGUAUAUUGAACUUAGAGGAAUAUGAAAAAAGGAUAUACAAAAAAAAAAAACAGAAAAAAUCGUUAAUCGGUGAACUAGCGAAAUGGAUAAGAAUCGUUGAAAUAUAGGUCGUAAGUGAAAUACAUACCAUAUCGGCUAUCGCAUACAAAUUAAUUCUUAAUUUGAAUGUAAAAGCAGAAUUUCGCUGGUUGGGGAUGAGAUUUUCUCGACUGCGCGAAUAUUUCAGCCCCGAGAUUAUUUUAACCUACGAAAAGUUGAAAUAGAUGAAAUUAUAUACAUAUUAUAUUUCCAGUUCUUGUUAGUGCUUGGAUUAUUUAUUUUAUUAAAUGUUACGAAAAGAAUAAUAUUUAUAAAUUAUUUGCAUAUCUGAUAGAUUAUAAAUUCGAGAAAUAUGUUGCUACUAUCAUAAACUGAUGAUAAAAGUGAGUAUGAGAAGAUAAAUAAAUAGAGAAAAUAUAUUAUAUCUAGCCUUGAGAUUUUAAAUACAAAGACAAACCCAUGAAAGUACAGGUUUUUAUUUGAAGUUCGUAAAGGUAUCAGAGAAGUCUAUUAUCCGUAGUUUAAAUAAGUAUCGUUAGCUCACACUUCAAUCGUCGGUUUCGUCUAAAACUUGUUGAAAUGAAUUUGAACAAUCUUUAUCAAUUUAUAUAGCAAAUUUUAUAAAAGUCAUGAUUCAUACGAUAUUAAAUUAAAAAUUAUCGUAAGUUAUAAAGUUUAACGAAAGAAAAAGUCGAUGAAAACAAAUUAUUAAACAAAUAUACAUAUAUAUACAUAUAUAUUGCCAUUAUUGAAUAAACAAAAAUAUGAUAUUAAAAAAAUAUAAAUAUAUUACAUAAAUGUAUUUAUGUAAAUGUAAAUGUUUCGUUGACACUUGAAAAACAAUCGUUACAUUUUUUGUUCAUUAUAGACAAGAUGUGUAGUAAGGCAAUAAAGUUGCAGUGGAAAUAGUAAAUUUUAAAUUAAAAUCAAAGUACAUUACGUAGAUGUGAUAAUUGUAAUAUAAUUAUAAUGUAAUAAUUUCGUAAUAUUUAUCGAAGAUGGUUUAUAAAGUAUAUUAUAGGUACAUAGAAUCGAAUAAAUAUCAGUCCAUGAUAAAAUAUAUAGGCAAUGCUACAACGCAAUAAAUAGUUCGCCUCAUAGUUCUUAGCGUAAAUCAAAUAGUAAAAUAUUUUUAUUUGUUCGUUUUGAAAAAUGUUACACCUAAAAAAAAAAAUCAAAGUCGACAAUUUAUCACAGCGCAAUCACGAUAAAUCAAAAUUUUGCGAUACGUGUUGUAAAC
rnacentral:misc_RNA from 1 species